UGAGGAAAUAAUAAUUGUGGAACUCUUAGGAGAAGAAGAUUCGGAAAUCGGAGAAGUUUCGUUGUCGCAUCACGAGACACCGGAAAACAGGCAAUUCUCAAGUGAAACCGGUUUACAUCCCUGAGAUAAGCGAAGCUAUUCGUCUAUAUAGCUUUGCCACAUGUUCUAAUGGAUCAUAUAUGGGACUUUGGACCUUUUGCACCAUAAGGGCCGUCAUCGUGCGCGGAUGGCAUCGGCGUUUCCGCGUUGUCGCGUUCAACUAGACUGAUAUCCCGAUUUCACGAUUGUGACCGAGUUAUCACAUUUCUGAUGUCAAUUAAGUGGUCAAUUAAUGUCUUAUUGAGGCUUGUUGCCUCGAUUUGUGAUUCUCGGUGUGAAACGGAUAUCUCGAUCUGUAAUUCGUACCGAAAUUCGGGAGUGCCGUCAAAGUAUCGCGCGUACAAGUGCGGAGAGAGCGAUAAAAGUAUCGCACGUAUAAGUGCGGGAGUGUCGAUAAAAGUAUCGCGCGUUUAAGGUGAAUAUUGACGAGCUGAGAGGAGGAGGAGGCCUAGGAGAGGCAUCGGGCGCCGAUGGAGCAAUCCUAUGAUAGCAGAAAACUUGGAAAUCGGAGAAGAUUCGCUGUCGCUCCAGACACCGGAAACAGGCAAUUCUCAAGUGAAACCGGUUUACAUCCCUGAAAUAAGCGGAACUAUUCAUCUAUACAGAUGAGUACCUGUCACCUGUUGGCUGCUCUAGCGCGGAGGUGACGGGGAAAAACAGAGAAGUAGAGGAGAAAAAUUUUAAUGCGGCACGCAAGUCAGGAAGGAAGAUGGAGAUGGACGAUAAAUCAAGCAUCGGUGCAUCACUCGAAGACUGAUUCCAGGUAAAGAAGCAACGAGAGAGGAAGAAUCGUCGAAAAGGGAGAUUUGCAAAGAGGGAGGAUACUCGAGUACACGUGGGAUAAGUAAAUCAUAGGAACACCAGCGGCACCAGAAACGCGUGCCAGGAGGAUUCGCUUGUUGGCGGAAGGGCCCUCCGCGGAGGACCUGCCGGCUCCUGGAAUCACGCAAGCAUGAAUCCGCCAAAGGAGUACCUCCUGCACCUGCAGCCCCCAAGACGGGGCGCGUCUACGCCAACCGUGCGUGAAUCCUCGGCAUGUGAUGCCGGGCAACCCUUCGUCUCCUUCUUUUGCAAUUCUUAAGUGACUUGUAUCCCGUAGAUUACUUCAGUUAUGAAACAUUAUAUAACAUUAUAUAAUUACAUUUAUAAUAGAAAAUCCGACUAUUUUACAGUAUUACUAAAACACAUUUAUUAAUUUUUGUCUUUAAUUAAGCAUCAGCUUAAAAUA